AAAAACUUUUGAUUUUGCGUGAGAGAGAAAGAGAAAUAUAAUUUUUUUAUUGUUUUGUUAUUCUGUUUCGCGUCAUUUUUACAAAUUCUUCUUUAUUUGAUCUUCUGUCAUUUUACAUAUUUUUACAAUAUUGAUUGUUGUGGCCUGUUUGUGAGAAUUAGAGGAUUAAAAAACAAUCACUACCAUACACCCAUAGCGUCUGAUGUCUGUUUGGCGUGCCUUUCAGUGAAGCUCUUGUUGUCUCUAAACACUAUGGUGGCUGACUAUUUACAAAAAACAAUUGUUAAUCCGUCUUUUACGAAAAUUAAUCGCAAUGUAGAGAAUGUCUUCGCGAACCUAGAGGAUAUAACCUUGCUAUGUUGAUUGCCAUAUCCAGGGGUUAUCUCAAUGAUACAUACUUGUUAUUAUACCAUUAUUCUCAGCAGAAUCACUACCAUACACCCAUAGCGUCUGAUGUCUGUCUGGCGUGCCUUUCAGUGAAGCUCUUGUUGUCUCCAAACACUAUGGUGGUUGACUAUUUACAAAAAACAAUUGUUAAUCCGUCUUUUACACAAAUUGAGAAUGUCUUUGCGAACCUAGAGGAUAUAACCUUGCUGCUCUGUCGUCUUAUAUAGAUGAUAUUUGGGCAAAAUAUUUGUGUUAUAAUAACGCAAUGCUUGAAUCCGAUACUAAUAGCAAUACUUGGAUCCUUGAUACUUGAAUCAUUGUGGGCUUUAUGUCGAUUUAAGAUCCCUUAGAGUUGUCACACUAUAUGAACCAUUUAUAAAAGAAAAACGUUUAUCUGAAGAUAUUCCUUCUGAUCAGUUGAUGUACUUGCGACUGUAUCAUCAUGAAUGGCAAAAUAACUUUAGAACAAAUGAGGAAAUGUAUUUGGAUUGGAAUGAAUGUCAUUUCGAAUGGUCUAUUCCGAACAAGUCUACAAUAUGCUUUGAUGCAAUUGAUUAGUUCUAUGAGAUCACCACAAAUUUAAUAAAUAGCAAAUAUCAUCUUAGGUAUGCCUUUAAAGCCGCACUUGUUGAUGGGAUGUAUCCUAAAACAUAUACAUUGUAUGCAUGUUUUAACGCCUAUUACAGUUGCUUUGUUUGCAGGAUUGUUGUAAGGUAAGCUGACCACAUGUCUUCUUUUUUUAGAGGAAACUUAUCUAUUUUAACUGGCUGUCAUCUUUAAAAUGUAUGUCCUCUUUUUAUCAUAGAAGUAGAUGUAGUAAACACUUUUUUGUUUUUGUCUUCUAUUUAAAAGUAGUUUUUUAUUAUUAAAAAAAAUAUAUGUAUAAUCCUAUUUAAAAAUAAGAAACAGAAAUUUGUAUUAAAUAAAAAUCAUAGUUAUAAAACAUGUUUUUAAAAAUAGUUUUGUCUAAAAUUUAAAAAAUCUAUAAUUAUGUAUAAAAUAAAUUGUAUUAUAAAAAUAUUUUUUGUAUUGUAGGUAGGUACCUACAUAUAUCGUGGAAUAAUAGUUUAUAAAA